GUAGGGAAAACAAACACUUGCUGGCAGUAUCCAGGUUUUCUAACCAGAAUUGUGAAUUUUUUUCUCCAGUUUGGUGAUGGAGAGUAUAGAUAACAGUCAGAAGAAAAGCGAUUUAUGAAACAGUGAGCAGAACGCUAUUCUGGAGAAUGAGAUGUCUGAUUUUUGUUCCAAGCUCUGCCAGAGUGACCUUGCACUGCCACUUCCUCUGUAUUUCAGCAUCCACAACUAUAAAAAAUAUCUCGAGAAACCAUUUCUAGUUGCUUUCAAUUUGUUUUGGAUUGAACUCGUGAUCUUAAUGAUGAAGGACGCUACAACCCAUUAGCAGUCAUCUGAGCCGUCCAGAUCUCUUGAGAGCCUCUUUCAAUUUUUCUGGCCAACUUUUUGAUUUUGGGUCAACGCUUUCAUCUCAGAAACCAACAGGGAUAAUUGUACGUUUUGUCUGCCCUUGACUUGAUUAACAACUCUUUGCUGUUGUGCCCAGCUGCUAACACCCAUCCUGAAAUUUCAGGAGACCAGUAUGUUCUUAUGAAGUCUUCGGAGACUUUGAGAGCAGUGCAGUACAAAGACCAUCUCUGAUCAUUAUCCUUAAUGCUUCUAUUACUUUCUGUAAUGUGAAUUCCUGAUCAAGAUCUCGAUUACAGAAAACAAAAUGUCAGAGGAUGCCUCUUAGUUCUGAAAUGACAUUUGGGGCUGAACGAAUGCGUUUGAAAGGGAGAGAGCUCUGCUGUGCUGUACCAUUGAUGCAUCAAACUGAUCAGGUGAAUAUUAAUUUUGUGGUUCCUUCCCACCUCUGUGGUCCCCCCAUAUAAUUCUGGACACAGAUUAGUUAAAGCACGUAGUAAAAAGUGUAGUAAUCCAAGCAGUUUAGCUCUUUUUCCUCAGCCAGCAAUAUUGGGGACUAACAAGUAGAUGGCAUUCUAUCUCUAUUUUUAAAUUAUGAAACAACAGUUUAGGAUAUCAUAGAGUGCAUUCCUUUCAUUUAUUAUGCUACUCUGUUAGUCUGAACAAAGAAAGAAAUGUAUUUUUUUAACAGUUGUAGCCUCUGAUUCUAAAUAAUCAAUAUAAAUACUGCACUAAAAUUGAUUCAAGAUAAAAUGAUUUCACUUUUAUGUUGAAAUACUCUGGGUUUAAUAAAAUGUCUAACAAAAAAUAUCUUAGUAUUGAAAGUGGCUGAGUAAUGAAAUACCAACUUCCUGAAAACAAAUAUAUCUGAAGGUAAUCAGUGGGCCUGCAAACUGAAAAGAAGAAAAAUAUUUUUUUUAGCACUGCUGUUUGCAUUUUCAAGUUCAUAAUCAAGGAAGGAAUUUCCUGUCCUUUUUAUUUGCAGCCUUAUAAUUGUUCCUAUUGUACUAGACUCAGAAAUCUUGUACUAGGAAAAAGAGAAAUUAAACCUGGAAGCAAUGUGAGUAAUUGAAUCCAAGUGCCUUCAGGCGUGCAUGCCAUGUGGUCUCAUUCAUUUAUUGGUUAAAUUUCACCUUAAAAUUUUUUUCUCAAAUUUUCCCAGCUGCUCCUGCUUGUAACUUAAUGAUGUGCUGUUUACCAUCAUAGCUGAUAUGUAAAGAGUUUGACAGAGAACUUCUAUGCAAUCAGGAAGUUUUAGACAACUGAUCCACAAUCUUCUCUUGCUUUCGUAUAAAGUGGAAUUUAAAAGGAGUGGUUCUUAGGUGUCAAAUAUGAAGAUAAGUGCUUAAUCCCACCAAAAGUUGGAAUCAGUGAUGAAGUUAACAUUGCAAUUACUCCACAAACCGCUUUCAAUGACAUUUUUGAACUUUACUAAGCUCUUGCUUGCUAGAGAAAGAAGUGCUUCAAAUAUAAGUCCUUUUUUAUCCUGGCUUGAGCAAUGAGACAGCACCAGUCUCAGUGCCUGUUGUCAUCCUCAGUUCACCACAAUGAGAGCAUGGUAAAUAAAUAGAUGCAGAUUCAAGUUGCCCUGUUAAUCCCAGUAGAAUCUGGGUUCAGUAAUUUUUUUCUUCUUUAGGCAGUAAACGUGGCCUAGAGUAGCUGACCAUUCAUUAAGGUUCUGAACUGAUUAAACCACCUGUGUGAGACUGAAAUGUAUAGUGUUUCUGAGUAAUUAUAUGUGAGACUGUCUUUUAUAAUGUAGCAAAGAGUAAUGGCAUAUAUAUAUAUGUGGCCUAUUAUAUAUUAAAAAAAAUUGCUAAUCUGUUUUUUUUCAUGGUCAAGAUUUCCUCGAUAUUCUUUUCUUCUUGAGGAUAUAUCUAAAUUGACUGCAAUUUAAGAAGCUUGUACUUCUUGCCUAAGGGCUUUCAAGAAGCUACCUCUCCUUAAGCGUCUUUCUGAAUUCAGGUUGAAAAUGCUGUUUAAUGAGUAGUAAUGAUAUCUAACAGGCAAGGAGGCUAAAUGAGAAACAAAUAUGUAUUUGAACAAUACGCUCAUUAAAAUUAUAUUAGAACUAUCUCUUGAG
rnacentral:lncRNA from 7 species